rnacentral:rRNA from 1 species
GUUGUAUGGUUAAGUGACUAAGCGUACACGGUGGAUGCCUUGGCAGUCAGAGGCGAUGAAGGACGUAGUAACUUGCGAUAAGCCCAGAUUAGGUAGUAACAACCAUUUGAGUCUGGGAUUUCCGAAUGGGGAAACCCACUUACAUAAGUAAGUAUCCUUACCUGAAUACAUAGGGUAAGGAGGCGAACCGGGGGAACUGAAACAUCUAAGUACCCCGAGGAAAAGAAAUCAACCGAGAUUCCGAAAGUAGCGGCGAGCGAAAUUGGACUAGCCCUUAAGCUUUACACGCGUUAGACGAACGGUCUGGAAAGUCCGACGAUACAGGGUGAUAGUCCCGUAGUUGACGACGUGUGUUCAGUGAAAUCGAGUAGGGCGGGACACGUGAUAUCCUGUCUGAAUAUGGGGGGACCAUCCUCCAAGGCUAAAUACU